AUUAGUUUUUUAAUUGGAGGCUAGAAUGAAUGGUUGGACAAGAAAUAAUCUGUCUCAGAUCAAUAUAUUGAAUUUAACUUUUAAGUGAAAAGGCUUAAAUAAUCUGAAGGGACGAUAAGACCCUAUAAAACUUUAUAUUGAGAAGUGAUAGGUAAGUUUUGUUUAUAGGUUAAUUACUUUAAAAUAUUUGGUUGGGGCGACCGGGAUAGAAUAACAAGUAACUGUCUUUUUUUAAAACAAUUGUGUUUGGAUUAGUGAUCCUAAGAUGGAUUAAAAGAUUAAGUUACUUUAGGGAUAACAGCGUAAUUUUCUUUAAGAGUUCUUAUCGAUAAGAGAGUUUGCGACCUCGAUGUUGAAUUAAAGGUUCUUUAUGGAGUAGAGACUAUAAAAGAAGGUCUGUUCGACCUUUAAAACUUUACAUGAUUUGAGUUCA
rnacentral:rRNA from 1 species